rnacentral:lncRNA from 1 species
AAAUUGUUUGCUGAAUCACUUUUAUCAUAACUGUUUUGAAUAUGGUUGCUAAUUUCAUGGUCUGAUUAAAUUUUUGAAAUUUGCAUUGAACCCUGAUUUGCCUCACUUUACUCUUUGUCCAUUGAUUUGAUUAGAAGGCUACACUGAUUUCUGACAUGGAUUAGAACCAUUGUUCUUUCUCUAUUGAAACGGAAAUUAAAAUUGUUUUGAGAAAGCAGUUUUUGUGUAUUUGAGUAAGUGUAGAAUUCAGUUUGAUUUAGAGUGAAUGCUUGCAAAUUCUUGAAUGCAUCUAGUUUCAUUCCAAAUCUGUUUGAUAUAGUUACUGUUCUGGUACUACCGUGAACGAGUUGAACUGUUUGAAACAAAUAGGCUUGUGCAUCAACAUUGUUUUAACUGUCAUACCUCUUUCAGUUUUAUAAAGUGAAUCAAGCAUUGCAUUUCCAGUUAUGAUUACAUGAUUGAAUGAGUUAGAUGAAUAUGGUCUGCAUGGUAUCCCAUUAUU